CAAACUGACUUUUGGCUGUUGAAUAUCACAGAGCUUUUAUAUGUGACUUCCUAGUUCUGCCAAAACGAUCACAGCCAGUUUGAGUCUCCUAACAGUUUUCUAAAAGCUGAGAUUUGGUUGGUACAACUUUGCUGGGGAAUGGCAUAUAUACGGUUGUGCUCACUUCUAUGAGGAAAGAGGUUACCACAUGUGGAGGAGACCGAUGUCACCUUACUUAACCUCAGCUGCAGCCAGAACUUUCUGAAUUUUCCUACAAUUCAGACUUUAGAAAACCCCAGUGUGAUUGUGGUAAUAUAGAAGAGACAGAAGUGGUGGGAAGGAAGGAGAAAACAAUGGCUAUGAUUUCCUGAUGUGUGUCUCUUGGCCCUGCGUGGAUCUUUUCUAGCCUUACUUCAGGUAAAUACCCCUUUGUUCCUUUCUUCCUACCUGCUCAGCUUUGCUGAAGCAGUUGCAGCCCUUUUUUUCUUCCCUAAGGGUGAACAGAGCGUCAGGAGUGAGCCGGCCCAGGUAACAAGAGCUGGAGAAGAGGCACUUAUGGUAAACUCACUGUUAAAAUGUAAACAAUAAACAACAGCGUGGUAAGAGGUGGAAGAAGCCUGGAUUUACCGAAAGCAGCCUUGCCACUAGAUAAUGCUUUUUAAUAUUACUGGCUGCUUCUUUGUCCUGCUCUGUCAUCAGCAUGCUUCUUGAAGAGCUGGCUCUCAAGUGGGGAAACAAGCAGAGCAAAACCCAUCCCGAACCCCCUGCACAAAUGUUUAUGCUGGGGAUUCAUCAUAGCUUUUUGGAACAUCUAAUGUUCAAAUUCUUCAAAAGGCAAGAAAAAACUGCUACAUUCAGCAGAAAACUCUCUAUAUACC